rnacentral:misc_RNA from 1 species
UGCCUGCCUAGAUAUUGC